rnacentral:rRNA from 1 species
UGGGGAAUAUUGGACAAUGGGCGAAAGCCUGAUCCAGCCAUGCCGCGUGUGUGAAGACGGUCUUCGGAUUGUAAAGCACUUUAAGUUGGGAGGAAGGGCAGUAAGCUAAUACCUUGCUGUUUUGACGUUACCGACAGAAUAAGCACCGGCUAACUCUGUGCCAGCAGCCGCGGUAAUACAGAGGGUGCAAGCGUUAAUCGGAAUUACUGGGCGUAAAGCGCGCGUAGGUGGUUCGUUAAGUUGGAUGUGAAAUCCCCGGGCUCAACCUGGGAACUGCAUCCAAAACUGGCGAGCUAGAGUAUGGUAGAGGGUGGUGGAAUUUCCUGUGUAGCGGUGAAAUGCGUAGAUAUAGGAAGGAACACCAGUGGCGAAGGCGACCACCUGGACUGAUACUGACACUGAGGUGCGAAAGCGUGGGGAGCAAACAGG